rnacentral:rRNA from 1 species
GAUUAACGCUAGCGGGAGGCCUAAUACAUGCAAGUCGAGGGGCAGCACGGAUAGCAAUAUCUGGUGGCGACCGGCGCACGGGUGAGUAACGCGUACGCAAUCUACCCUUAACAGGAGGAUACCCAGAGGAAACUCUGACUAAUACUCCAUAACAUUGCAGAUUCGCAUGAAUCAGCAAUUAAAACUCCGGUGGUUAAGGAUGAGCGUGCGUCUGAUUAGCUAGUUGGUGAGGUAACGGCUCACCAAGGCUACGAUCAGUAGCUGGUCUGAGAGGAUGAUCAGCCACACUGGGACUGAGACACGGCCCAGACUCCUACGGGAGGCAGCAGUAGGGAAUAUUGGACAAUGGGCGAAAGCCUGAUCCAGCCAUCCCGCGUGCAGGAUUAAGGCCCUAUGGGUUGUAAACUGCUUUUAUCAGGGAAGAAACCGAGAGAUUCAUCUCACGUUGACGGUACCUGAUGAAUAAGCACCGGCUAACCG